rnacentral:rRNA from 1 species
GAUGAACGCUGGCGGCGUGCCUAAUACAUGCAAGUCGAGCGAACAGAUGAGGAGCUUGCUCCUCUGACGUUAGCGGCGGACGGGUGAGUAACACGUGGAUAACCUACCUAUAAGACUGGGAUAACUUCGGGAAACCGGAGCUAAUACCGGAUAAUAUAUUGAACCGCAUGGUUCAAUAGUGAAAGACGGUUUUGCUGUCACUUAUAGAUGGAUCCGCGCCGCAUUAGCUAGUUGGUAAGGUAACGGCUUACCAAGGCAACGAUGCGUAGCCGACCUGAGAGGGUGAUCGGCCACACUGGGACUGAGACACGGUCCAGACUCCUACGGGAGGCCGAAGUAGGGAAGCUUCCGCAAUGGGCGAAAGCCUGAAGGAGCAACGCCGCGUGAGUGCUGAAGGUCUUCGGAUCGUAAAACUCUGUUAUUAGGGAAGAACAAAUGUGUAAGUAACUAUGCACGUCUUGACGGUACCUAAUCAGAAAGCCACGGCUAACUACGUG